GCUCAGAUUGAACGCUGGCGGCAGGCCUAACACAUGCAAGUCGAGCGGUAACAGAAAGUAGCUUGCUACUUUGCUGACGAGCGGCGGACGGGUGAGUAAUGCUUGGGAACAUGCCUUGAGGUGGGGGACAACAGUUGGAAACGACUGCUAAUACCGCAUAAUGUCUACGGACCAAAGGGGGCUUCGGCUCUCGCCUUUAGAUUGGCCCAAGUGGGAUUAGCUAGUUGGUGAGGUAAUGGCUCACCAAGGCGACGAUCCCUAGCUGGUUUGAGAGGAUGAUCAGCCACACUGGGACUGAGACACGGCCCAGACUCCUACGGGAGGCAGCAGUGGGGAAUAUUGCACAAUGGGCGCAAGCCUGAUGCAGCCAUGCCGCGUGUGUGAAGAAGGCCUUCGGGUUGUAAAGCACUUUCAGUCAGGAGGAAAGCGUGGUGGUUAAUACCCAUCAUGUGUGACGUUACUGACAGAAGAAGCACCGGCUAACUCCGUGCCAGCAGCCGCGGUAAUACGGAGGGUGCGAGCGUUAAUCGGAAUUACUGGGCGUAAAGCGUACGCAGGCGGUUUGUUAAGCGAGAUGUGAAAGCCCCGGGCUCAACCUGGGAACUGCAUUUCGAACUGGCAAACUAGAGUGUGAUAGAGGGUGGUAGAAUUUCAGGUGUAGCGGUGAAAUGCGUAGAGAUCUGAAGGAAUACCGAUGGCGAAGGCAGCCACCUGGGUCAACACUGACGCUCAUGUACGAAAGCGUGGGGAGCAAACGGGAUUAGAUACCCCGGUAGUCCACGCCGUAAACGAUGUCUACUAGAAGCUCGGAGCCUCGGUUCUGUUUUUCAAAGCUAACGCAUUAAGUAGAC
rnacentral:rRNA from 1 species